UAGAGUUACAAAGGGCAAGCCCAUAUCUUUCUAAUACAAUAAAAUUGCAACUACACGGUGUCUAUACAUGGAAGCUCCAUGCCUAGGUUUUCCCUAGAGACUAUACAGUAUGGGGUUCUUCAAAAAAUAUAUAUUAAGGUUACUUCAGGGUCGGCAAUGUGCACGUGACACCCUAAUGCUGCAAGGGGAGGGAUUGCUAGUAAUGGGGACUACCAGUCCCAUUGCUAGCAAUAUAUCCAACCAGGUCGACAAUCACAUGAUUUCGCCUGGAAACCGGAAAAAAAUGUGCAGGUGGUGAUCAAGAGCGUGAAGCAGGGUCUGAGAACUAGCAUCGUGAGACCUUGAUCUUUUCAUCACUUAAGAAUCUAUCUUUCUUAUAUUAUUAAAAUGGUGAUGAUUUGUGUUCCGUAAAUAGAUAUAUAAAUACUCUUUGUUCCAUUCAUAUGAUUACAUUAGUAAACUUAAUAUAAAUACAAACAAUUAUAAGAUUAGACUAAGAAAACAAUGAGCAGCCUUAUCACUAAGGGCGAUUUCUUCCAGGCAACCUUUGGAUAGAGAAGAGUAAAUAUAUACAGUUUGACUGGAGGCACGAAAUUCUACUCUUUUUUUUUUAAAUACAUGGUGGGUCUACCAUUGGGGGGUUUUGUCAGUAGUUGCCACGCAUGGUAGGCAAUGAAAGAAUGUGAGUGUAACGGCAAAAACGAAAGGGAAAUAAACCUGAUAAAAACAUUUUAAAGACGCUCAUGUUUGUUAAACUAGUCUUCCGUAAGAUCCAGAUAACAAGUAUCAGCGUAAUCUUAAAUUGUAAUGUAAUGUAAAAUCAGUAAUAAAAUAUCGACAUAAUAAUUAGAAUGUUUCACUUACAAUCAUGUUUUUAUCAAAAUAAGAGUAAGAAAAUUCGAAAAAUAACUUAAUUAUUACAUUAAGUUUUAUAAACUAAUUAAUAAUUUAAAAAUUUUUGCAUGCCUUAAUACUCACACUAUCUCCAAGCUUGAAAUGUGCUUUUAAUGAUGACAUUGCUUCAGCAGGCAAAUCUUUCAUUGCAUCCUCAAUUUGUAACUUGUCAAUGGAGCCAUGGCCAUUUACUAUGCCUUCACACUUCAAGUCCAAACUGGAGCCAGGGGAUGUACCCAGUACAAUGAAUGACUCAUCAUCACCAUUAUCUAACAUUGAGUCCAUAUUUAUACCUGAAAAAACCAAUGACUCAUAACUUCUAACUUAUUAGAGUAGGAUAUUUUUCAAAUGCAUAGUUAUAUGGACCUUUGGCACAAAGUAUAAUCAACACUGGACUUUUUUUAUUUACCAUUUACAAACUGUGUUAUGUAUAUUUACAUGAUAUCAAGGCAAAGAUUCUCAAUAAUUUUAGUAUCACAACCACUAGUUGCUAUACUAAAAUGGUUAUAUCAUGUAAAUAUACAUGUAAUAUAUAUACUAAAAAGUAAUCAUAAAGUCUUAACUCUUCUAUAAACUAUUUUAACUAUUAAAGUAACUUAACAAUUAAAAAAAAAUUGCACAAAAAAGAGACAAACUACUCUAAUAUCCAAAGCAGGGUUAUGAGAUGUUCAACGUUUUUAUAAAUAAGACUGAUAAGAAUGAAAAGAACAUUGAAUAGUACUUCUGGAGCAGAAAAAAUAUGAACUUUGGAAAGUACUCAAUUUUAAUAUAAAUAAUAACAGUCUGUGUUUGCAUACACUGCAUUGAAAAAUGUAAAAGAAGAUUUAAGUCAACUAAGUCAUUAAAUAGAUAUAUUAAAUAUCAAACUAUUAAAAAAGAUUUCAGAGGAUCGCAACAUACUGAGAAUGUAAAUGUCACUAAAUAUUGUGAAGUUUUAGGAUGACCAAUAUUAAUUAUAAUUUUGAAUAUUAGUAAUUAAGAGACUACACAUGUAUUUUAUUUUAUCUCACUGACCCAAUUGUGUUACACUAGACACAGACGAGUUGUGUAUGUAUAACAUAUACUUCAUGCAUUAAGCAUGGUACUGGACACUGGUAACAAGAAAAAUAUAGAAAAAUAACAUUAAAAUGUACUAUUUAUAAUAAUGCAGCGUCACAACGAUUGCUGAUUGUGAGAAAAUAUCAUCAUGAUUAUUAAAUUGCCUAAACUCCAAAUUUACAGCAGUCAUCAACAAUGUGCUAUAAUGGACAGAGCAUACUGCUAUUUCAUUAAAAUCUUAUGUAGAUAAAUGUUUAGUUUUAUUGAAAUUAUAGUAUAAUAUAAAGAUAUGAUGAUUUAUACAGAAUAAGAAAUACACAAAAAGGAAAUACAAAACCCGGUGUAUUUAUAAUGCUGAUGGCAGUAAAUUUCCAUGAAUUAUUGAAAAUAAUAAUUGUAAAACAUCAUUGAACUCGAUAAAACAUCAUUGAAAAUAAUAAUUUUUCACCUAAUAUUCUCUGUUGACAUAGAUCUUUUCUAACACUUGUAUAUUUAUUAACCAAUUAAUUAAACCAUUAUAAUCAAAUAGUACCUAAUUAAAAAAUAAACAAACACAGCAACCUACCAGUAAC